CCUACGGGCGGCAGCAGUGAGGAAUAUUGGUCAAUGGGAGAGAUCCUGAACCAGCCAAGCCGCGUGAGGGAAGACGGCCCUAUGGGUUGUAAACCUCUUUUGUCGGAUAACAAAACCCGGUACGUGUCCCGGACUGCGUGUAUCCGAAGAAACAGCAUCGGCCAACUCCGUGCCAGCAGCCGCGGUAAUACGGAGGAUGCGAGCGUUAUCCGGGUUUAUUGGGUUUAAGGGGUGCGUGGGGGGUCCGUUAAGUCCGCGGUAAAAUUGCGGGGCUAAACCCCGUCGAGCCGUUGAAACUGGCAGACUGGAGUUGGCGAGAGGUACGCGGAAUGCGCGGUGGAGCGGUGAAAUGCAUAGAUAUCGCGCAGAACUCCGAUGGCGAAGGCAGCGUACCGGCGCCAAACUGACGCUGAGGCACGAAAGCGUGGGGAUCGAACAGGAUUAGAUACCCCUGUAGUC
rnacentral:rRNA from 1 species